UCCUACGGGAGGCAGCAGUGGGGAAUAUUGGACAAUGGGGGGAACCCUGAUCCAGCCAUGCCGCGUGUGUGAAGAAGGCCUUAUGGUUGUAAAGCACUUUAAGCGAGGAGGAGGCUACUGAGACUAAUACUCUUGGAUAGUGGACGUACUCGCA
rnacentral:rRNA from 1 species